CGGCCAACACGCCCUGCCACAGCCUCUGUUAAGGUAAGCGGAGCUCCCCCAACAAAAGCGACGGGCGGAGGACUGGACGUGCGGAUGGCCAGCAAGCCCACAAAGAGAUGUUCAGUGUCAUCGGCAAAAAGCAAGUCAAAGCCAUGGCGAGACACCAUCUCUCACCCACCAGGACGGCCGCAAAACCAACAAAAGCCGAAAACCAGAAAAUAACAAGGGUCGGCGAAGACCAGGCGAAAUUGGACGUGGAGACGUUGCAGGUGAGAAUGUAGGACAGUAACAGCGGCCACUGCGGAGCAAGGUCUGUGGCUCCUGCAACCUGCAACCCCACCCACCCACCCCAGGCUCGGCAGGAAGAAAGAAGGCAGGGACUGAGAUGCACCCCACCCCCACCGCGUCCCCGAGCGCAGGAGCCCAAACCACCCGACUGCCGUCUGUCUGUCCGUCUGUCGUGUGCUGGUUGGUAAAUCCGACCACAGAAAGGACUGCGACACGGGGGAGGUGAGAAAACGAGACGCCUCGGCUGCGAAGUGUCCAGAACAGACAGCACAGGGAGGGCUGGGGGCGGGGAUGCCCCGCAGACUGGCCGCUUAAUGGAUGCCGGCCUCCUCUAGAGGGUGAGAACGUUCUAGAACGAGGAGGGGAGGCUGCCCAGCACUGUGAAUGUGCUAAGUGCUGCUUGGCUAUUCACGCUAAAGUGUCUGGGGUUUUGUCUUGUGAUUUUCGCCUCAAUAAAAAAACAACAAAGGUAAGUGGAGGCCAGGGUCAGCCGCACCCUGUGUCCCCACGGUCCCCCAGCACCUGGAGUCGGGGCUGCCCCACGCUGGGCACUUCGGCUCUCCCAGCGCCCCUCCCGUGAGGGAAUAAAUGUGUGUUGUGUUAACGCGUGCGGCCCUGUGUUACAGCACUGCCUGUGCCCCUCGGUCCAGGAGACCCUCCUAGCUGGACGGGGAGGGCCCAGCACGGAGGACGAGCAAGCCAGGGGCAGUCGAGGGGUACCGUGACCCCAGAGAUGCCCACAUGUUGCUCUGGGAGAGCAGGACCGGCUGCUGUGGGUCAGGAAGACCACUGGGCUGGGGAGGGGUGAUUGGUCAGCACUGCUCACAAGCAGGGGGAGCCCGGGAAGGGCUCAUCCGGCUCUUGAGGGAGGCGAGGUGCCCAGAGCCUGCCCAGCUUCUGGCAGCUUCCUGUGCCCUGGGCUGGCGUGGGGGCUGCACGAAGCCAGCAUGGCCGUCGGAGACCGUGGUCCCUGGACUGGGCCUGGCCUUGGUGCUCCAACACGCACGCAUGUGUGCACACAGCAAAACAAAUGUGCAUACAUCGCCAUAAUGGCAGCGGGAAACCCUCCCUGACAGCUCGUGAAGAAGUUAUAUUUCAUUGCCAUGAUGUCAGCAGAGAGCAAUUUGUUUCCAGAGACGUCGCAUCCAGAAUGGUGACAGCUUUACCAUCAUAGAGGCGUGGUUCGUGGUUCGUGGCUCGUGGUUCGCUUCAGGGGGCCUGGCCCAUGCGGUGCACCGGGGGCCUCGGGAGAGGGCUCGCGCCGGGUGGCCUGGACCUGCCCCGUGAUGCGGCCCCACCAGCACCGAGUUCCGGGGCAGGAGGAGGACAGCCCCAAGGGGCUGUCAUUGGGGGUGACAAGGGCUGUGCCGGCCUUGAAGCCUGUCCGCUCUUCAGGACUCCCAUGGACCCCUCUCAGAAGGGAAGGAAGCUUAGCUGGCACGGGGCCUUCUGAGCCUGCCCCCUGCAACCCUUGACCUUCCCCACAGAUGCACCCAGAAGGCCCCGGGGAAGUAUCUUCUGGAUCAAGAAACAGAUUCCUAUUUCUAGGGAGAAGGAGGCUCCUGACCACAAAGACCUGGAGACUGGGCAGGGGACGGGGUGAGGGGACGGCCCAGGGGCCAUUUCUUUCUUCUUUUUUUAACGUUUAUUUUUGUGUGAGAGACAGAGAGAGAGUAAGCGAUCGAGGGAGGGGCAGAGAGAGAGGGAGACACGGAAUCCGAAGCAGCUCCAGGCUCCAAGCUGUCGGCACAGAGCCUGAUGUGGGGCUCAAACCCACGAACUGUGAGAUCGUGACCUGAGCUGAAGUCGGACACUUUACCGACUGGCUGCAUUUUACAAAACCUUAAACGUGAAAACUCAGCCACAGCAGGGAUGCAGCCCUCAGAACGAGCUUUCAAACAGGAGCACAUCUCCACCGACAGACAUCGUCACCCAGCAGAACUGGGGGACUGCCUGAAACCCCCCAGGGUGGGCCCGCCACCUGCUUGUACACAUUUCUCCCCUUCUGCGGGCUCUACCCCAUCGUGGUCAUUACUUGGUGGUCCCAGACCCUCUUCAGACACCUCUGAGGCCGUGGGAGACCCGGGGGGGGCCUGACCUGCUCUCCCUGGAGCUUGGGGACGUUGGGGAUGGCCAGAGCAGGAUGGACAUCACCUUGGUGGCCAGGGGGCUGCGGCAGGUGGGGGCCGGCUCGGCUGGCUGCGGGCCCUUUGGGCUGGGAAGAAGCCCAGAUGACCCAUCACCCGGUGGCAACUGCGAGCAGGGGGACACGAUGCCCAGCAUCACGGGCUGCCCGCACAUCCACCAGACUUACUCUGCCCGGCACCUGGGAAGAGGGCGCAGCUCUUAGGGACGCGGAGAAUAGACAGGAAGCCCUUGGUCUAGCUGUUCUGUGGCCUGGAAACCUUCUCGCCACACCUCACACCUUCCUCUUCUUCUGAGCUGGGCGGAGCCCCCCCCCCCACCCCCACCCCGCGCUCUGCACAAAAGGAGACCCGGCUUAGCCCUCAGCAAUUCUCCAGAUGCAUCGACAGAACCGCCUGCAGGAGAAACGUCUGGGACCACUUAGCUUCGAACGCCCUCACUAUCGGAAAGGAGGCCGCGACCCCGUCCAGGAGAGCCAGCCUCGCUUUCCUGUGCACAGACUCCUGGGAAACGGUGCGGGACCCGCGUUUGGCAAAGCGGACUCCCCGGGUCCGAUGUCCGGCUGCUCCCUGCCGUCCCAGCCCUUCCCACCCCACUCUGGUGGUGCCUGAGGGGCACCCGUUCCCUGCCCCUCUCCCCUCGCUGGGACUCAGCUGAGGAGGUGGAAGAGACCUCAGAGGACCGCUCCUCUCCAAGGCGGACCCCGGGCGCCCCUGGGGUGCACGGUUCCAGCUGCCCUGCCGGAUGUCCGAGAGCCACCGGGGUCCCGGCUCCUGGUCACACAGGAUCCUGCAGGCAGGCACCUGGGCUCCCAGAGCGGGCGCAGUAGAGGACACAGAGGGCAGGGUCCUAAGAACGUCCCCAGAGCCCCUGACUGCCUUUGACCACAGCACCAGGCUGCCACCUGCUUGGCUGAGGUCUCCUGGGGGUCUCCUCCUCGUGUCCACGCUGGGAGCACGGCCAGGAGCCCCGGGAUGAAGGGUGAGGCUUAUCUCUCUCACACGCUGUCACCAGAAGCCGAGGGGUGUUGAUCCAACAGGAUCUCAGCCACAAUUAGCCUGUUCCCUCAUUCUUGCCCUAUAAAUAUCCAUUCUGAGAUUGUCAUAAAGGUGCUUUAAAAAAAAAAGGGGGGGGGGCCAAGCCCGUCUGGAGCAAGGAAUCAGCUGCCAAGUGAGUCCCACCACAGAGACCGUGGAGAUGCUGCCCCCAGAUGGCUCUUCUCCAGGGCCAAUGUGGGUGCUCUCUGGGGUUCUGUUUAAUUUGGGGUGGGGGUUCUUGUCCCCUGCAUGUAGCGUUUAUAAAUGUCACUGUGUGCUCCGGAAAAAUGCUGUGCAUGGGGACAGUGUCCCUGCAGGGGGUGGCCGGGCCCCACAGCCACGGGAAAGGUGUGCCAGCCACCCACGGGCCACAGCCCCACCUCCGGGCCCGCGUCAGACACAGGGGGCUCGUGGCCACACCCCUGCCCCAGGACCCACGUUACGCACACGGGGGUCGGGAAAUCAGGGUGCCAUCACAGGGCCAGGCAGCCGGGCUCCCCCAGAAGUCCUCCAGGCGGGGCCCCCGUGGCACCUGUGGCCAGUGUAUGUCCCCUUCCUCAUGGAGCCCUUUGAGCCUCAGAGGUUGCUCCCUCCACAAGGAGCCCAUCCCCGGAAGCCAAGGGUAGUUUCCUUCUCUUUCGUUAUCCCUGACUUUUUCAGGAGCGUUAGAGUGGCCUGCCCACUCACACAGGGCCCACGGGGCCAAAGGGGUCCUGGCCCAGCCCCAGGACCCCCAGCCGCUCACAAAUCUCCAUCUCACCCAGAACCCCAUCGAUCCACCUCAGUCCCCACCUCAGAUGAUGGCGGCGGUGGUGAUGGUGGUGACGGUGUGUCGGGCUUUUGCUUGCCUGCUGAGAGGCUGCCCCUGCCUUGCCCCCCAGGUCCAGCUCCCGCCUCUGCCUCUCAUUAACACCAGUUGGGUGGGCACCUCCCGGCCCGGCAGGCAGGUCUUGUUAGGAAGUGAGGACCCCGCUGACCUUCACGACCGGACCCUACAUUCCCCCGGGGGUAGGUAUCCCAGCGCCUGGCCUAGGGCAACCCCUCCUGCCUCCCGUGCUCAGGGCUCCCCCUGGCUGGGUCCCCAGAACAGAACCUACCGAACGUGCACCGGCACGCACCAGCCCGAGCACACCCCGACAGCCGCCUCUUGCCCGGGCUGCCACAAAUGGAAUCCACCCCUCCUUCGCCUGGAGCACCCCCGCUUGCCUCCGCCCCCGGUUUCUAAGCAGCCAGAAAUGGAAGCCCCAAGCCUGGGGGUGGCCACACUGUGGAAUGUCUGGAGGACGUUUUGCCUUCUUGACAACACAGAUUUUCCUGAUCCCGGGUUUGCGGACAUUGAGAACUAGCCUGCCUGAAGGGAGCUGUCCCGUUUAACAAAUGGAUCUCGGCUCGGUCCUGAUGGAUGCCUUUGCCUGAUCGUAAAACUCCGGAGGAAGUCAAAUUCGGGUUCUCAAAACCUUGGAGAUAUUCCUUGAAUUUAUUAUGUGACCUGAUAAAUUAUUGAAUCUGCGUCCUCAAGUAGCUUUAACAGGCACAGCAGGCCGGAGACACUGAAUGUCCCCUGGAUUGGGGGACCCGCCAGCUACAGUUUAAGGUUCCCACCAGAAAACUCUUCUGGGAACUCGGGCUCAGUAUCCGAGCAUCCCAGGGAAGCCCUUCUGGGGUCAGAGGGCAGCAAAGCCUGAGAGGUCCCCUAGGGCGGCCUCUGGGACCCUUCCAUCUCCAUCAGCGCAAGGUCGUGGCGUUUCCCCGGCCAGCCCUCCCUCCUGGGGAACGAGGGCUCAGAGUCCUCAACUUCCUUCGCACGCACACCUGUUGGUGGCAGAAUCCCGUCCCCCUCGAGCACACACCUUGUCAUCCUCUCCCCUUGAGCAGAGGCAGGGCCCGCAGGGAAAUCACUUCUGAGAUCAGGGCACUGAUCAGGCCACUGCAAGUUCAUCAGUGAGAGCAACCUGCUGGGUGGGCCUGGCCUAAUCAGGCAAAGCCUUCAAAAGGAACAGCAUCGGAAAGACGCCAUCCUGAUGGUCUCAGAGAAGGAAGCCAAUGGCAAGGUAGUGACCUACCUUUCGGGGCCACGUGGCAAGGGCCUACAGGUGGCCCCUGGCCCACAGCCGGACAACAAGGGCCUCAGUCCUACACGCACAAGGAACUGAACGCUGCUGACGCCCUGAACGAGCCGGGAAGAGGCCCCGAGCCUCAGAAAGGAGCCAGCCCCAGCCGGCGAGGUCGGGCAGAGGAGCCGGCCACGCCGCGCGGGGCUCCUGCCCCACAGAAACUGCGACAUGAUAAACGGAUGGCACUUUAA